GUCCAUAGUACGAAGGUGGUAACUUUCAUUUGAGUUUAGUCUAUUUAACUCUUUUUCAAUUCCAACCAAUGUUUUCUCAAGUUAUUAUUUAUUAUGAGAUACUAGAGCAAACCAUAUACUGUUUUCUCAAGUUAUUAUUUAUUUUGAGAUACUGGAGCAUACCAUAUACGGAUACAAGGUUUUUAGUUGGCUCACUCAAUAGAGGAACAUCUGUUAGCACAUAAUUCAAGCAAUUUAUUGCAGUAAUUGGAGCUAUUCUCUGAACUGGGGAGGUGCUAGUCUUCUUAUAUCUUGGCUCCCAUUCUUGUUAUUAAGAUUAAUAUACGGAAAUUCUCGUUCGAAGGAGCCACUCUGCUUAUAUCUUGCCUUCCCAUUCUUGUCAUCAAGAUUAAGAUGCGGAAAUAGAGGAACAACAUAAUUCAAGCAAUCUAUUGCAGUAAUGGGAGGUAUUGUUUGGAUUGGGGAGGUGCUACUCUGCUUAUAUCUGCCCUCCCAUUAUUAUCAUCAAUAUUAAGCAGCGGAAAUUCUCGUUUAAAGGAGCCACUCUGCUUAUAUCUUGCCUUUCAUUAUUGUCAUCAAGAUUAAGCUGCGGUUCUCGUUUUAAGGAGCCACCAGUUAGUGAUAAAAGAUUCAAUCUAUUCCUAUUACGUCUACAUGUACUAAAUGACCCAAAACCAUCACGGUUACUCUUACUAUCACUAAACCUACUCUUUCUUGCACGGUAAUCAAAAUUCUUCUCCCAUUCACAUUCCCUAAUUAUCCUGGCAUCCUUUCACUAUUUCUCCCAAGACUAUCAUAGAACUUUAACUUCUCCAUACCAUCCUAGUCAUGCCUAUGGAACCCAUUCGAUGAACAUAUGCCCGGAAAUUUUUGUGCUUAGAUGAGUGACUUAUUGAUGAACCACCCGAACUUGGUUAUCUGAAACAUCCAAAAAAAUUUGUUACUACGAUGACAGUUUGCAAUAGAGAUAAUAACGUGACUUACAAAUGAUGACAGCAUAGUUUGGCAAAUUAUUUAGAGAACUAUUAGUUUAAUAUAAGACUCAACGAAACAGAAGAAAUAGCCCUUGUUAAAUGUUCAUAGGUGAUAUUAUUGCAUUAACAUGUAUAUAAUUAAUAGAGGCAAGCGUGUCAUUAAUCACUUACUUGGUGUGCAUAUAACUAAACUACAUCCCUCUUGGAAAAAAGUUUCGCUAAGCAUUUCAACAAUAUAGAUAUGUUUACACAGUUAAGCCAACAGAGCAGUAUCUUAUAUUUCUGUUACAUUUCACUUACACCAACAGAGCAUGUGCCUAGAAACGAGAGCAAUAAUGAAAAAUUACCAGUGACGCCUUAGAACACUCAAAUAAUAAGAAUUCACUACUACAAAACCUCUCAAAGAUAUUGGCACAUAGAGAUGGCCGGAGGUAGUGGCUAGAGUGGAGCAGCCGCACAACGGAGGUUCCUUUUGUUGAAUAGUCCCAUAAUAUUGGGUGUGGAAGGACAAGAGACCUAAUAUAUAAGUGGAGGAGCCCAUCAUCACCUCAUUGGUUAGCUUUUCGGGUGAGAAAGUCACUUUAUGAUCCUACAGUUGGUAUCAGAGAGCCUGGCUAGUUCAACAUCUCUAGCUUAAGGGACAAAGCACUGGUAGAGAAAGGGGCUUUACUCCCGGUUAGAAACCCCCCUAUAGUCCCGGUUAUACAACCGGGAGUACGAAUCCGGGACUAAAGAUACCCAUCUUUAGUCCCGGGUGAAAUAACCGGGACUAAAAAUCCAUCUUUAUUCCCGGUUGGUAUUACCAACCGGGACUAAAAAUGGUGGAGCAGUCCCGGUUGAUUCUUUUUUUUUUUGUUGUUGUUUCAUUGCUCAAUCGAUUUGCUCCCUAAAUAUCCCAAAUCAUCCACAAGCAUCACAGAUUUGGGAAGAAAUACAUCACAUAUUGCAAAGAAAUGCAUCACAGAUCACAAAUACAUCACAUCACCAAAUCUCAAACGAAAAAUACAUCACAAAUCUUAAAAGAAAUGCAUCACAACUCAAAUACAUCCCAGAUCAGAUCCAAUAUCACAUACAUCACAGAUCAAAUCCAAUGAAACAC
rnacentral:lncRNA from 1 species